UACGUAGGCAGCGAGCGUUGUUCGGAAUUACUGGGCGUAAAGAGUGUGUAGGCGGUGCUCUAAGUUCGGUGUGAAAUCUCCCGGCUUAACUGGGAGGGUGCGCCGGAAACUGGAGUGCUCGAGCGUGGGAGAGGAAAGCGGAAUUCCUGGUGUAGCGGUGAAAUGCGUAGAUAUCAGGAGGAACACCUGCGGUGUAGACGGCUUUCUGGACCAUGCUGACGCUGAGACACGAAAGCGUGGGUAGCAAACAGG
rnacentral:rRNA from 1 species